rnacentral:rRNA from 1 species
UACGUAGGGUGCGAGCGUUUAAUCGGAAUUACUGGGCGUAAAGCGUGCGCAGGCGGUGAUGUAAGACAGGUGUGAAAUCCCCGGGCUUAACCUGGGAACUGCAUUUGUGACUGCAUCGCUGGAGGCAGGCAGGGGAGAACGGAAUUCCCGGUGUAGCGGUGAAAUGCGCAGAUAUCGGGAGGAACACCGGUGGCGAAGGCGGUUCUCUGGGCCGUAACUGACGCUGAGGAGCGAAAGCGUGGGGAGCGAACAGG